rnacentral:lncRNA from 1 species
AGAGGAAACCAGCAGGCUCAUAAGAAGGAAGGAGAAACUAAGUAUCCGGUGGGCCACACUCACUCUCGUAGAAAAAGCCUCACAGACGGAAUGGAAAAGAACCCAACACAACACAACCUGCGGGAACCAAGCAGCCUUCUCAGAGUAGCCCAGAGCCCGCUGAAGUCACCGCAUCCGGAGGGACAGGACGCCCGGGCUCGAGCAGUCCCACAGCCCCGGGGAUCCAGCGCGAGCGCCCGCGAGGCCUGACUGCAGACCCCGUUCCGCAACAGCGCGCCCAGCUCCCGCGCCAUCACCUCCGGACACCACCCGCACACUCACCAAGUCCACUUCUGCGAGACGCUGGUGUCCUCCCACCAUCGUCCAGCACCCACAGCGUCACUACGCCAACAAAGCUGCGCAGGAGGCUCCUGGGCAGGAACACCGAGCCCAAGAUGGCGGCUCCCAGACAAAGGACCGGUGACAGCCAAAGCCCGCCCCCCGCCCUCCCUCUGUGUGUCUGAUUGGACACUUCUCAACUCAGUGCCUCCGAUUGGACAGGGCUCCGGGUCCAGCCCCUUGAGUGACAGUAGAUGGCGCCAACGCACAGCUGUAGGAGCUCAGAAUGACAGGUUCUUGGCUGCAGCUAAUUUUAAGACAGAGGGUUUCUUGUGAAACUCAGCAUAUUCCUUAUAUUCCUAUACCUAAAAUCACAUAAACGUGUGGCGUGAUUUUACACACACACAAAGCUUGCUAUGUACAGUGUCUGCCUCCAUAAUUUAUAGCGAAUAAGCUAGGUCACAUGGUUUGCUCAAAAGAAUGAGGAUCUGGGUUCUAUUUCAGGCUUACCUAGAGCCUUUUUUCUGGUACAGCUGUGACGGUCUGGACUUUCCAAAAUGUACUAGAAAAGGAUUCAAGGCAAAAAUUAUAUACUGUCUUAAGUGUGUGACCUUUUGUGAUGAAAAUAAUUAAGUUUUUUUUUUCCUUUGAGUGAUACUGGUGUAUAUGGGGUUUUUCUUUUAAAUUCUUUUAAAUAUAUUUACAUCAUUUCUUUCUUUCCUUUCCUCUCUCCAACUCUUACCAUGUCUUCUUCCUCCAAACCCUUUCAUAUCCCCUCCCUCUCUCCAUCUCAAAUUCAUGGUCUUUUCUAUAUUAACCUGAUGAGUUAUUUUUACCAUUUCCUCUAUGUUUAUAAUUUCGGGGCCGGUCACUUGAUUUUGAACAACAAAGGUGCACACCAUGACCAAGACAAUUCUUAUAAAAGAAAGCAUUUAACUGGGAGGGGGGAUAGGAGGGGCUGCUGACAGUUUCAGAGGUUAGUCUGUUAUUAUUGUUAUCACAGUUGUGGGGAGCAUGGUGAAGUACCUGGUGCUGAAGUGGUAGCUGAGAGCUACAUCCUGAUCCACACGUGGAAAGGAGGAGAAAGAGCCUGGACUUGGUAUCUCUUCACAGAAAUAAAACAGACUUCUGUUUGAAUGACUUAGCAAACUC